rnacentral:rRNA from 1 species
CUUCCGUAGGGGGACCUUGGGGAAGGACCAUUA